UACGUAGGGUGCAAGCGUUGUCCGGAAUUGUUGGCGUAAAGAGCUCGUAGGCGGUUUGUUGCGUCGGCUGUGAAAUCCCGAGGCUCAACCUCGGGUCUGCAGUCGAUACGAGCAAACUAGAGUGUUGCAGGGGAGACUGGAAUUCCUGGUGUAGCGGUGAAAUGCGCAGAUAUCAGGAAGAACACCUAUGGCGAAGGCAGCUCUCUGGGACGGUACUGACGCUGAAGACG
rnacentral:rRNA from 1 species